rnacentral:tRNA from 1 species
GCCGGGGUAGCUCAGUGGUAGAGCACACGACUGAAAAUCGUGGUGUCGAGAGUUCAAUCCUCUCCCCCGGCA